rnacentral:lncRNA from 1 species
CAGAGAUGCGCUCCGAAGGGACACAGAAGACUGAGCUGAGAGCUUUCUUCCGUUCUGUAGCCUGUCUGACUAAAGGAUCCCAUAAAGGGCGAGAGAAAGGUGUCCACUGGAACCAGAGGCUUCCAACCACUGCCGACGGCUGCUGGGAACUCGUAAAAGCAAGCCACGACCGCCAAGACCUGAACGCAGUGAUAUUCAGCACAGUGUCGUGCAAGAGAACCUCAGAUCCGACGAGCCCCGACGACACACCAGAGGGUCAUUUGGCAGUUGUGUCAGAUGUAUUUGGCUGUGAUGAUGACACGUGACUGAAUUCCCACGCUUUAAGAAAUCCCUGUGCAUCGUGUGACCCUCAGUUACUGGUUCUUAGUCCACUCCUGACCAACAGGAUCUUUUAGGGGAUUUUUUAUACUUGCUGAGAAUGUGCAGAAAUGUUAUCAGACCUGCAGGCUAAACAAACGCAAACCCCAGUCUGUGCUACUGAGCCGAAAAGCCUGUUCUGGGCAGAGCCGAGCCCCAGCGCUGUGUGCUGGCUCCAGCGCCCACUGCUCUGCUGCGGAGCCGAGCCCCAGCGCUGCGUGCUGGCUCCAGCGCCCACUGCUCUGCUGCGGAGCCGAGCCCCAGCGCUGCGUGCUGGCUCCAGCGCCCACUGCUCUGCUGCAGAGCUGUUAAUGGGCAGAGUCAAACAGGGAAGCGGGACUGGCACUACAGACCAACCCGCUGUUUGCCAAGCGGGCUAGCUCUAAAAUGCUGAUAAAAACAAGUAUAUGGAAAACAAGUAUAAUCUCUAGCGUGAUGAUUUCUCAGAUCUAGCAUAGCCCUGUAAAAGUCAAGCACUUAUUUUGAGCUGUCUCCGUCAAUAAAAGAAAGAUGAGAGUGAUUCAACCCUCCCUCCCUAUCUUUGUCUCUUAGGACAGGAUUAUUUCCCCAAGGUGCCUGUCCACCUCCUCUGGACGCUUAAAGUUACUUAGCUUUAGAUUACUACAGCUAUCUGAGACAAAAUAUUCAUCCCCAAGAAAUCUGGAAUCCUGCC